AGUAGUUUGAUCAUGGCUCAGAACGAACGCUGGCGGCAGGCUUAACACAUGCAAGUCGAGCGCCCGCAAGGGGAGCGGCAGACGGGUGAGUAACGCGUGGGAAUCUACCUAUCACUACGGAACAACUCCGGGAAACUGGAGCUAAUACCGUAUACGUCCGAGAGGAGAAAGAUUUAUCGGUGAUAGAUGAGCCCGCGUUGGAUUAGCUAGUUGGUGGGGUAAUGGCCUACCAAGGCGACGAUCCAUAGCUGGUCUGAGAGGAUGAUCAGCCACACUGGGACUGAGACACGGCCCAGACUCCUACGGGAGGCAGCAGUGGGGAAUAUUGGACAAUGGGCGAAAGCCUGAUCCAGCCAUGCCGCGUGAGUGAUGAAGGCCUUAGGGUUGUAAAGCUCUUUCACCGGUGAAGAUAAUGACGGUAACCGGAGAAGAAGCCCCGGCUAACUUCGUG
rnacentral:rRNA from 1 species